UUUUGACGAAAACUAUCGCUACUUCUUUCCCGUUGGAGAUAUUUCGACGUUUAAGCGCUCAUUUCUCUCCAUUUUACACGGCAAAUGUAAUGCACACUGGUUUCAGCGUCGAAACAAGCAGAACAGCUCGCAAAUCGCGAUGAUUUCGUCGAUUUUGACGAAAAUUAGUCGCUACUUCUUUCCCGUUGGAGAUAUUUCGGCGUUUAAGCGCUCGUUGAACUCCAUUUUAUACUGCAAAUGCAAUGCACUACCGUUUAAGCCUCGAAACAAGCAAAAUAGCUCGCAAAUCGCAAAGAUUUCGUCGAUUUUGACGAAAACUAACUGUCAUUUCCUUCCCGUUGGAGAUAUUUCGACGUUUAAACGCUCGUUGAACUCCAUUUUACACUGCAAAUGCAAUGCACUACCGCUUAAGCGUCGAAACAAGCAAAAUAGCUCGCAAAUCGCGAAGAUUUCGUCGAUUUCGAUGAAAUCUAGCUGUCAUUUCCUUCCCGUUGGAGAUAUCUUGAAGAUUAAGCGCUCUUUGAACACUAUUUUACACUGCAAAUGCAAUGCACUACCGUUUAAGCGUCGAAACAAGCAAAAUAGCACGCAAAUCGCGAAGAUUUCGUCGAUUUCGAUGAAAUCUAGCCGUCAUUUCCUUCCCGUUGGAGAUAUUUCGACGUUUAAGAGCUCGUUGAACUACAUUUUACACUGCAAAUGCAAUGCACUAUCGUUUAAGCGUCGAAACAAGCCCAACAGCUCGCAAAUCGCAAUGAUUUUGUUGAUUUUGACGAAAACUAGUCGACAUUCCCUUCCCGUUGGAGGUAUUUCGACAUUUAAGAGCUCAUUUCACUCCAUUUGACACGACAAAGAUAAUGCACUCCGGUUUCAGCGUCGAAACAAGCCCAACAGCCGGAAAAUCGCGAUGAUUUCGUCGAUUUUGACGAAAACUAGCCGUCAUUUCCCUCCCGUUGGAGAUAUUUCGACCUUUAAGCGGACAUUUCGCUCCAUUUUACACGACAAAUACAAUACCCACAGGUUUCAGCGUCGAGACAAGUCCAACAGCUCGCAAAUCGCGAUGACUUCGUCGAUUUUGACGAAAACUAUCGCUACUUCUUUCCCGUUGGAGAUAUUUCGACGUUUAAGCGCUCAUUUCUCUCCAUUUUACACGGCAAAUGUAAUGCACACUGGUUUCAGCGUCGAAACAAGCAGAACAGCUCGCAAAUCGCGAUGAUUUCGUCGAUUUUGACGAAAAGUAACUGUCUUUUCCUUCCCUUUGUAGAUAUUUCGACGUUUGAGCGUUC